CGCGAUACAGGGUGACAGCCCCGUACACAAAAAUGCACAUACUGUGAGCUCGAUGAGUAGGGCGGGACACGUGGUAUCCUGUCUGAAUAUGGGGGGACCAUCCUCCAAGGCUAAAUACUCCUGACUGACCGAUAGUGAACCAGUACCGUGAGGGAAAGGCGAAAAGAACCCCGGCGAGGGGAGUGAAAAAGAACCUGAAACCGUGUACGUACAAGCAGUGGGAGCACAGAGCAAUCUGUGUGACUGCGUACCUUUUGUAUAAUGGGUCAGCGACUUAUAUUCUGUAGCAAGGUUAACCGAAUAGGGGAGCCGAAGGGAAACCGAGUCUUAACUGGGCGUUAAGUUGCAGGGUAUAGACCCGAAACCCGGUGAUCUAGCCAUGGGCAGGUUGAAGGUUGGGUAACACUAACUGGAGGACCGAACCGACUAAUGUUGAAAAAUUAGCGGAUGACUUGUGGCUGGGGGUGAAAGGCCAAUCAAACCGGGAGAUAGCUGGUUCUCCCCGAAAGCUAUUUAGGUAGCGCCUCGUGAAUUCAUCUCCGGGGGUAGAGCACUGUUUCGGCAAGGGGGUCAUCCCGACUUACCAACCCGAUGCAAACUGCGAAUACCGGAGAAUGUUAUCACGGGAGACACACGGCGGGUGCUAACGUCCGUCGUGAAGAGGGAAACAACCCAGACCGCCAGCUAAGGUCCCAAAGUCAUGGUUAAGUGGGAAACGAUGUGGGAAGGCCCAGACAGCCAGGAUGUUGGCUUAGAAGCAGCCAUCAUUUAAAGAAAGCGUAAUAGCUCACUGGUCGAGUCGGCCUGCGCGGAAGAUGUAACGGGGCUAAACCAUGCAC
rnacentral:rRNA from 1 species